UUUUUUUACCAGUUUUAUUGCACCAAGAAUAUGGAUUAGAAUGAAGACUGUAAAGGUUCCUGAGAUACAUGAAGAUAACAGACACUUUUACCAAAGACUUUUAAAUCUUUUUUCAGGAAGGCAAGUGUUUCCUCUUGUUUAUGAAAGCAACUCAGUUGGUUAAGGGGCAGACAACUUGUGAGCAUGGUACAUCACUACCUGUAUUGGUAUUCCAUUUUGACAAUGCUGCUAGCUAGAAUAGAAAUAACAUCUUGCUGUGGUAUGGUCUGUGGAGAGUUUUACUAGGAUAUCACAGAUCGAUUGAAUAUUCAACAAUGAUCACAGACCAUGCAAAGUUUGAAUCUGACUUGCUCUUUUGAAUUUAGAAGAAUCUGUGGAGGAGGGUGAAUGCUGAGACCUUUAAUAAAACAUGAUAUUGCUGACACAGUGUGUCAGUCAUCCAAGAAAUGUCAUAACAACACAGUUGGUCAACAAAGAUUUAAAUCCUGUCACAUUCUACCAGUGGAGAAAUAUCUUAUCACAAUAUUUUAAACUUUGAAGAAGAUAACCAAGUAUUACCACUUUAUCAUGUCUGCGGAAACACCUGGAUUGUUAGUCUUAAAAGUGACAGUCCAGUUAACUUACUAAAAUCUACUCCCCCUUGUCAAAUGAAUAUUAUUGACAGGGAAUGACACAAGCCUGGCAAUGUACUUGUAUGAACUCAUAAGAGAAUAGUAUUUGUCUGAAAAGUCAAAGGAUUCUGUUUGUCCCAAACCACUUGAACUGAAAUUGGAUUGACGAGGAUUUUUCUGAGAACUGAAAAAAGGAUGUGAAUAUAAAAGAUAGAAAUUGUUGUUGAAUUUUUUAAUAUACAACACUUUAGCCUGUUUUGCUGUUCAUAUAGAUGUGUUUAGCUGUUAAGGUUAAACAUCAAGUAAAGGUUGUAGUUUCAGUUACCUACAUUAAAGUAUUGGCUGGAAAUAAAUAUUUACUUUUCA